GUCAAAAAGAGAUUUUCUACACUACUAAAUUAUUUUCCACACAAAGUGAGCUGCACAAGUAUAUUGAAGUUUUGCUUUGAUCUUGUGAAGAUUAAAUUCAAUUCUCCCCUGAUUGUGAAAAUUAAAUUAACUCCCCUGCUCAUUUUUAGCUUUAAUCACCAAAAGUGUAAACACCCUACUUAAAGGUGAUUGGGGAGAUCUGCCCAUUUUUUGAUCUAAUCACCAAAAGUGUAAACAUCCCACUUAAUCAUUAAAUGGGAAGGUCUGUGACCCAUGUGUGCAGUAGUGGGUGAUUAAUCAAAAUCAAACUAACUGCCCCAUGGGCCAUCCUAAGCAAAGCUUCAACUGUGAUUGGUAAACAUAAAAUUAGGGGAAGGCACAGGAAGUGACACAAAAGAAAGUGUCUUUAAAAGGGAAUGACAACUUCCUGAGUGGAGUUCAACUUGAACUUUGUCUUCUUCUGGAGUUCUGAGUUUGAGUUGGAGACUGAAGAAGAAUCUGCCAACUGGACCUGAGACCCUAUUCCUCAUGAGACUGUCCUUGAAUCUUUCCCUUUGGACUGACACAUGCCUCCUGGUUUUCAAAGACUUGGUCUGAGCCUAGAAUCAAAAAGUCAGACUAUGAGUCCUCUGAAAAGGUAUAAUUUAAUUUUCUUUCAUAUUCCUUCUGAAUAAAAAGAUACUUAAGAAUUCUGUAUGAGUGUUAAAGAAAUACACACAAAAAUAGUCAUUUGAUAGAUUUCCAUGUUUGCAAUUGAGUUAUUUUCCCUACAAUGAUCAAUAUGUAUUUUAUUCUUGUGCAUUUGCUAAAUUAUUUUACCUUCAUCUGAGAGGAAUAGGUGAAUGUGAUUAAUUGGAAUACACUCUACAGAAAUGUGUUGUUCAACCAAAUUCUAUUAAGUAAUGACUUCUAUGUUCAAGACACUGAGCUAGAAACUGAUGAUACAAAGAAAACAAAAAAGAGUUCUUGAUUUUAAAUAACUUUUCUACUCAAAGCAGACAAUACACAUGCAUAUGAAUUUUAGGUGGGAGAAGGAAUAAACACUGGAAAUUGUCAAGGAAGUUGUGGUGG
rnacentral:lncRNA from 1 species